CACUGUUUACAAAAAAGCAAAAAAAAAAGCAAAAAAAAAGUUUAAAAAAAAGCAAAAAAAAAAUAAACAAAAAAGAUAAAAAAAUUAUAAAAAAUACGAAAAUAAAACCACUAAAUCGCCAAAUUUAAAAUCGCCAAAACAUCAUUCACACCUUGCAGAUUCGCCCUCAGAUAGGGUCAAGGCCUGUUUGCUGACAACUGAGGCUGCAACAAUACCAAAUCUAACUUCCUAUUCUAUUAUAAUCCGAUCCCAUUUACACCAUGCAGAUUCGCCCUCAGAUAGGGUCAAGGCCUGUUUGCUGACAACUGAGGGUAAAUAAAUUAUUCAUAAUAAAUCAUUUUAUUUUAAAUUUUCAAGCUGCAACAAUACCAAAUCUAACUUCCUAUUCUAUUAUAAUGUAAUUAAAUAAUUUUUUGGAAGCAAUUUAAUUUUUUUAUAGCCGAUCUCUCAUUUACACCUAGCACAUUUGCCCUCAUAACAUAUUAAAUAAUUGAUAAAACAAAAAAGAAAAAAAAUGAUAAAAAAAAAACAAAUGAAAAAAGAAAAAAUGAUAGAAAUGAGAACCAACUUUCUAACGGAUAUUACACAAUAUCCGUUAAUCGAAUUGAAUAACCAGGGAUAUUACACAAUAUCCGUACAUCGAAUUGAAUAACUGAGAACCAAGUAUUAUAUAGUUAAAAUAAUUUAUAAUCUUUAUAGAUAGCUUUCUAACGGAUAUUACACAAUAUCCGUUAAUCGAAUUGAAUAACCAGGGAUAUUACACAAUAUCUGUACAUCGAAUUGAAUAACUGAGAACCAACUUUCUCAGGGAUAUUAGAUAACGUUAUGAUCUUUUCCCUGAUCUCGGGCCUUCCCGUACCUACAAUAACAACCUGACGAUUGGAUGAAAUCUCAAUCAAUUCCACAUAUCUCCUAUGAAAUAUCCAAGGAUACUCAAGCCGAAAAAUUUAAACAAC